rnacentral:rRNA from 1 species
UACGUAGGAUGCAAGCGUUGUCCGGAAUUAUUGGGCGUAAAGAGCGAGCAGGCGGUUUGGAAAGUUGGACGUGAAAUUUUAGGGCUUAACCCUAAAGGGUCGUCCAAAACUCCCAGACUAGAGUGCAGGAGAGGAAAGCGGAAUUCCCGGUGUAGUGGUGAAAUGCGUAGAUAUCGGGAGGAACACCAGUGGCGAAGGCGGUUGCCUGGAGCUUUGCUGACGCUGAUGCGCGAAAGCGUGGGGAGCGAUCCGG